UCCCAGUUGGUGUACUCAGUCAAAUGGAUUUAUAGGAAGUAAAAUUGUUCUUUGGACAACUUAAUUUAAAAACCUAGAUGAAAAAAAUUGUCUUUGAUUAAAAAAUAUCUUGUAGGCGUAAGGCCUGGGCACUACUUCACUGGGCCCGUGGUCUCAGCACUCUGUCUCUGGAGGUCCCAAUCUCCUGCUCAAGUCCUGGAUGGUCGGCCUCCCUGGAGCUUCCGCCCAGAUUAACAAAUCACUUCUGUUCAUGGGGGAGGGUUUUAAAAACUCCACAGGGUAAAAGAGUUUAACUUGUAAUAAAAGAAAGAAAGUGUGGUGGCUGGGUGGUAGAGAUGGAGGUGUUUGACGGGCAUGAAAAUGCAGUCAUUGAUUUCUGUGGGGGAGCACAAGUCUCAGAGACCCUGGAAAUGUGCACCUAAGAAGAUAGCAUGUGAUGGAAGAAAGAGAAUGCAAUAGAGCAAGUGUGGGGUCAUGGAUAUUGUAUCUUAUCCAACAGUAAAGCUGCAACGAAGACAAGGCACCGAUACUGGCGUUCCUUGCUUGGGGAGCCUGUUCAGACUGUGCUGGCUGACAUUCAUGCCGCGUGACUACAACGUUCCCUACAAUGUAGCAGGCGCAUGUCGAAAAAGUCCCUUUCAGGUGACCUUGGCUCUCGGAGCCUUCCUGUGUUUCCCGCUCUCAGAGACAGUCCGGGAGCGGUCCGGCUCGGGAACCCCUCCAACCCCAACACAGCGGAGACAAAAGCAAGCCCUUCAGCUUCUUGGAGGCUGGCUGGGAAAAUCAAGCGGGAGAAUUAAAAAAAAUACUCAACACAGGGCCCGGUAGCCGAGAGCUCAUGGUGUUUUCAUGGGCGAGGCCCCUUUGCUGGGCGUGCGUGGGAACAAGGACCUCGCGGUGACCUUCAGGGGGCUGCGGCUCCGUGGGUGAGUCGGGUGCCACGGCUUCCGACUGUGGCCGGGGCUCGGGGUCCCCGUGCGCAGCGUGG
rnacentral:lncRNA from 12 species